rnacentral:rRNA from 1 species
GACGAACGCUGGCGGCGUGCUUAACACAUGCAAGUCGAACGGUAAGGCCCUUCGGGGUACACAAGUGGCGAACGGGUGAGUAACACGUGGGUGAUCUGCCCUGCACUUCGGGAUAAGCCUGGGAAACUGGGUCUAAUACCGGAUAGGACCACUGCCUGCAUGGGUGGCGGUGGAAAGCUUUUGCGGUGUGGGAUGGGCCCGCGGCCUAUCAGCUUGUGGGUGGGGUGAUGGCCUACGAAGGCGACGACGGGUAGCCGGCCUGAGAGGGUGACCGGCCACACUGGGACUGAGAUACGGCCCAGACUCCUACGGGAGGCAGCAGUGGGGAAUAUUGCACAAUGGGCGCAAGCCUGAUGCAGCGACGCCGCGUGAGGGAUGACGGCCUUCGGGUUGUAAACCUCUUUCAGCACCGACGAAGCGCAAGUGACGGUAGGUGCAGAAGAAGGACCGGCCAACUACGUGCCAGCAGCCGCAGUAA